rnacentral:rRNA from 1 species
AAGCACACUUCGGUCACAGAUUAAGCCAUGCAAGUGCAAGUUCCGGGUAACUUAAACUGCGAACAGCUCAUUAACACGCUCAGAACCUAAUUGGUGACGCAAUGCAUUAUAUGGAUAGCAGGAGAAAACUCGUGCUAAUACAUGGUAUUGGUCAGUCAGAAGUGAAUUAUGACGGACAAGUGGACGAUUUCGCAUGCCAAGCGGUUGAGCGACCUAUCAUGCUUGUACUUAGGGUCUUUACCUAGGUAGGCUAUCACGGGUAACGGGCGGUUACCGUCGUACUGCCGGAGAAGGCGCCUGAGAGAUAGCGACUAUACCCAUGGGUAGCAGCAGGCGCGAAACUUUCCCACUCUUCAAAGAAGGAGGGGGUGAUGACCAGUUCUUCGUGAUAGGCGACAUCUUUACCAGAUGUCGGCAGCAAGCAGAGGGCCAGUCUGGUGCCAGCAGCUGCGGUAAUUCCAGCUCUGCGAGUUUGCUCCCAUAUUGUUGCAGUUAAAACGCCCGUAGUCAGAACACUGCAAACUGCGAAUAAAUCAGGACGCUUAGGGUACAUUUUAUGGAAUGACCAUGCGCAGGAUUUGAAAUUUUCUACGGAAAGCUCAAUGAGAGCCAUCGGGGUCAGUGCUAUUCAGUGGCGAACGGUGGAAUGCUUUGACCCACUGGAGAGGAGCGGAAGCGAAGGCUACUGACAAGAGGGUUUCUGUCGAUCAAGGGCGAGAGUAGGAGUAUCGAACCGGAUUAGAGACCCGGGUAGUUCCUACCGUAAACGAUGCCGACACCUCUACAUGUUCGCGUGGGGAGGAAUGGAAACAUAGUUCAUGGGCUCUGGGGGAACUACGACCGCAAGGCUGAAACUUGAAGGAAUUGACGGAAGGGCACACCAGGGGUGGAGCUUGUGGCUUAAUUUGAAUCAACACGGGGAAACUUACCAGGACCAGAUAUCAGUAGUGACUGCCUGCCUAAAGGGCAUGCAGGAUACUGUUUGUGGUGGUGCAUGGCCGUUGGUGGUGCGUGGGUUGACCUGUCAUGCGUUGAUUCAGCUAACGAGCGAGACUACCGCUUUUAUAAAAGGACUCCCUUCGUGAAGAAGGCGGAGGAGGGUAGCAAUAACAGGUCCGUGAUGUCCUUUAGAUGCUCUGGGCUGCACGCGCGCUACAAUGUGGGACGCAGAGGGCUGCAUCACCGAGAGGUUGUGCGAGUCCGUAAAGCGCCACGUAGUUGGGAUCGACGGUUGUAAUCAGCGUCGUGAACCAGGAAUCCCUUGUAAAUGCGUGUCAACAGCGCGCGUUGAAUACGUCCCUGCCCUUUGUACACACCGCCCGUCGCUCCUACCGAUUGGAUAAUUCGGCGAAGAGGCCAGACCCUCGGGGAAGGCACCUAAGCCACAUUAUCUAGA